CUGUCAAUUAAUGCCUUCGAUUCGUCCAGCUAGACAGGCAUGACGGUGAUCUGCUUGCCAUCUCUGAAGUUUUGCAUGACCAAGCUCCCACGGCUUCUUUCCACUCGGAAUGGAAUACUUUCCGGUCCCUGAAGAUUUAAUUGUGAUCGGUGCUUGCCAACUACUCGGUGUACUUAAACUAUGCAUCGAGCUGGAUUUGAUGCUCUGACUUGGGAAAUCCAAUGGAAACAUGGUGGGGUAUGUUUUCUUGCUUCUACUAGAAUGUGGAGGCCCUGGAUGAUCCCAAUCCGUUUCACUCUUACAUCUGUUUGUAUUACUGAAGCUGUCUUUUGGUCCAACUGGAAUGUGGUGUGGAGGAUUCGGCCUGCUUUAGAUAAAUGUGAAAAAGUAAGUUUUGCUUAUUACCAGACUUGUGCUACAAGGGUUUUGAGUAAAUUGCAGAAACCAUCGAUAUUGAAGGCUAGGUAUGUAGACAUGAUUUGGAGUGUAGAUUCAUUCAUUUUGCUCCGUAUGUAGUCGUUAGUGAAAUCUCUAGAAAGACUUAUAUUUAGGAACGGAGGGGUGUAAGUCUUUAUGGAGAUUUCAUUAUGGAUUACGAGGGUGUUUGGUUGGGCUGUGGGUUGUGGAAAAGCUGCUGUGAGCUAUGGGUUGUGGAAAAGCUGCUGUGAGCUAUGGGUUGUGGAAAAGCUGCUGUGAGCAGUGUUGUCGUUUGAUAAAUUGGCUGUCUGAGCUGUGGCUUUUGAGUAAAUGUUUGGAAUACCCCUAAGAUGCUGAGACGGUAUAUAUGUCCUGAUAUCAUGGUAAUAAUCUGUUUUUUGACACGUUUCAUUUAUUUUUAGUUGAUGUAUGUAUUUUGGAGGUAAUUAAAAUGUGAUAAUUGCUAACAUUGUUCAUAUAUAACAUUAGUUGUUCA